GAUGAACGCUGGCGGCGUGCCUAAUACAUGCAAGUCGAGCGAACAGAUGAGGAGCUUGCUCCUCUGACGUUAGCGGCGGACGGGUGAGUAACACGUGGAUAACCUACCUAUAAGACUGGGAUAACUUCGGGAAACCGGAGCUAAUACCGGAUAAUAUAUUGAACCGCAUGGUUCAAUAGUGAAAGACGGUUUUGCUGUCACUUAUAGAUGGAUCCGCGCCGCAUUAGCUAGUUGGUAAGGUAACGGCUUACCAAGGCAACGAUGCGUAGCCGACCUGAGAGGGUGAUCGGCCACACUGGAACUGAGACACGGUCCAGACUCCUACGGGAGGCAGCAGUGGGGAAUCUUCCGCAAUGGGCGAAAGCCUGACGGAGCAACGCCGCGUGAGUGAUGAAGGUCUUCGGAUCGUAAAACUCUGUUAUUAGGGAAGAACAAAUGCGUAAGUAACUAUGCACGUCUUGACGGUACCUAAUCAGAAAGCCACGGCUAACUACGUG
rnacentral:rRNA from 1 species